rnacentral:rRNA from 1 species
UAAGCCUGUGAAGGUGUACUGCGAGGUAUGCUGGAGGUAUCAGAAGUGCGAAUGCUGACAUAAGUAACGAUAAUGCGGGUGAAAAACCCGCACGCCGGAAGACCAAGGGUUCCUGUCCAACGUUAAUCGGGGCAGGGUGAGUCGACCCCUAAGGCGAGGCAGAAAUGCGUAGUCGAUGGGAAACGGGUUAAUAUUCCCGUACUGGUGAUAAUUGCGAUGGGGGGACGGAGAAGGCUAGGCUAUCCGGGCGACGGUUGUCCCGGUUUAAGGAUGUAGGCAGGU